rnacentral:lncRNA from 1 species
UCAUGUAAUAUAGACAUAUGUAUACCAUGCUUAUGUAUCAUAUUUCAAAUAAAGCAUGAACGGAGCAUAUUUUCAACUAAAUCGGUGUUAGAUUCACAUAUGUGUUAUGAAUACUUACGAGCAUGCCUAAUAUAAGUUUUAUAACUAUCUUGUAUGUUUAGAGAGCAAGCAUGUUAGACUUUGUGGUUUCAUAACCUCGAAUGGCCUUAACUUGUUGAAAUAAUUCUAUUGUGAAAGAAGGAACUUAGAUUGACUUAAGGAGCAUGAGAAGGCCUUUAACAUGUCAAAAUAUAUUAGGUAUAAUUGUGUGUUCAAGCCGGACAGACAC